rnacentral:rRNA from 1 species
CCUACGGGAGGCAGCAGUGGGGAAUAUUGCACAAUGGGGGGAACCCUGAUGCAGCGACGCCGCGUGAGUGAAGAAGUAUUUCGGUAUGUAAAGCUCUAUCAGCAGGGAAGAAAAUGACGGUACCUGACUAAGAAGCCCCGGCUAACUACGUGCCAGCAGCCGCGGUAAUACGUAGGGGGCAAGCGUUAUCCGGAUUUACUGGGUGGAAAGGGAGCGUAGACGGCAGAGCAAGUCUGAAGUGAAAGCCCGCGGACCAACUGCGGGACUGCUUUGGAAACUGCCCGGCUAGAGUGCUGGAGAGGUAAGCGGAAUUCCUAGUGUAGCGGUGGAAUGCGUAGAUAUUAGGAGGAACACCAGUGGCGAAGGCGGCUUACUGGACAGUAACUGACGUUGAGGCUCGAAAGCGUGGGGAGCAAACAGGAUUAGAUACCCGGGUAGUC